GAAACGGCGAGGUAAUGGUGUGGUGGGCAGAUGAGACCCACCAUCGAAACGGCGUGUUUGCUGGGAAUGCAUAAUUAAUACGAUGGGUUUGGGAUAAUACGGCAUGAGAAGCUGCCAUUCUGUCUGAAAAAGAUGGCGCAAACCCUCAGGAAGUAUUAAUAUUUGGAGAAAUCACUAGCCCCAUUUUGGCUGAAGCAGCACUGGAAAGAUGGGAAGGUUGCUGAAAUUGCCAUUGCAAUUGUCACAUUAGGGAGUACAGCAGCAGCAAGCACAGCAGCACAGACCUAUAGAAGACCAAAAGAGAGUGUGGAGGAAGCUGUACAGCAUGCUUGUGAUUUCCAACUAUGAGCUGCCAAUAGACAAGGUGCUCUGCAGCAACACAUGUUCAAGAAAUAGGCCUGAAUAAGCCAAUGUCCUGUCUAAGUUUCUUUAAUUCAACAAAUGGGAUUUCUUGAUGAUUUACAAAAGAGGUAUGUUAUGAGAGAAUAACCUUUUCUAUCAUGGAGGAUGAAUGGCUGUCUGGCAGAAACUGCCUGAAACUGGACUCUCAUUCCCACGUAAUGGCUCUGGCCAGAUUCAGGUGGGACUCUGGAACAUUUAUUCAAAUGAGGCUCACUCAUUAAGAUUGCAAGCCCCAUUCCCCGGGUCUGUCAACGACUUCAUGAGUCACACACAAUGUAUACGCCUUCUCUUUAAAAUCACAAAGCAAAUGUUACUCUUAAAGCAAAAUGUAAUGACAUCUGAAUAUCAUGAUUUCUGUGAUAAGUGAGCAUGCUAUCCUGUCCUAAUUUAUACUUUGUUGUAACUGAUGAAGUUCAGAUAGAACCACAUCUCUGUUUUAUAUUAACCUUCAAUUACAGAACAUUCAGUACUUG